rnacentral:rRNA from 1 species
AUUGAACGCUGGCGGCAUGCCUUACACAUGCAAGUCGAACGGCAGCACGGGGCAACCCUGUGGCGAGUGGCGAACGGGUGAGUAACACAUCGGAACGUGCCCAGUAGUGGGGGAUAGCUCGGCGAAAGCCGGAUUAAUACCGCAUACGACCUACGGGUGAAAGCGGGGAGUCGCAAGACCUCGCGCUAUCGGAGCGGCCGAUGUCAGAUUAGGUUGUUGGGGGGUAAAGGCCUACCAAGCCGACGAUCUGUAGCUGGUCUGAGAGGACGACCAGCCACACUGGGACUGAGACACGGCCCAGACUCCUACGGGAGGCAGCAGUGGGGAAUUUUGACAAUGGGCGCAAGCCUGAUCCAGCCAUGCCGCGUGCGGG